UCCAUCUCUCUCUCUCUCUCCCUACAGGCUUUACCACCUAGUCCAUCUCUCUCUCUCUCUCUGCUGGCUUUAGCACCUAGUCCAUCUCUCUCUCUCUCUCUCCCUCUGCAGGCUUUACCACCUAGUCCAUCUCUCUCUCUCUCCCUCUGCAGGCUUUACCACCUAGUCCAUCUCUCUCUCUCUCCCUGCAGGAUUUACCACCUAGUCCAUCUCUCUCUCUCUCUCUCUCUGCAGGCUUUACCACCUAGUCCAUCUCUCUCUCUCCCUCUGCAGGCUUUACCAACUAGUCCAUCUCUCUCUCCCUGAAGGCUUUACCACCUAGUCCAUCUCUCUCUCUCUCCCUCUCUCCCUCUCUCCCUCCCUCCCUCUCUCCCUCCCUCCCUGCUGGCUUUACCACCUAGUCCAUCUCUCUCCCUCACUCCCUGCAGGCUUUACCACCUAGUCCAUCUCUCUCUCCCUGCAGGCUUUACCACCUAGUCCAUGUCUCUCUCCCUGCAGGCUUUACCACCUAGUCCAUCUCUUUCUCUCUCUCUCUCUCCCUGCAGGCUUUACCACCUAGUCCAUCUCUCUCUCUCUCCCUGCAGGAAUUAAAACUUAGUCCAUCUCUCUCCCUCUCACUGCAGGCUUUACCACCUAGUCCAGCUCUCUCUCUCUCUCCAUCUCUCCCUGCUGGCUUUACCACCUAGUCCAUCUCUCUCUCUCUCUCUCUGCUGGCUUUAGCACCUAGUCCAUCUCUCUCUCCCUGCAGGCUUUACUACCUACUCCAGCUCUCUCUCUCUCUCCCUGCAGGCUUGACCACCUAGUCCAUCUCUCUCUCCCUCCCUGCAGGCUUUACCACCUAGUCCAUCUCUCUCUCUCUCCCUGCAGGCUUCACCACCUAGUCCAUCUCUCUCUCCCUGCAGGCUUUACCACCUAGUCCAUCUCUCUCUCCCUGAAGGCUUUACCACCUAGUCCAUCUCUCUCUCUCUCCCUCUGCAGGCUUUACCACCUAGUCCAUCUCUCUCUCUCUCCCUCUGCAGGCUUUACCACCUAGUCCAUCUCUCUCUCUCUCUCCCUCUGCAGGCUUUACCACCUAGUCCAUCUCUCUCUCCCUGCAGGCUUUACCACCUAGUCCAUCUCUUUCUCUCUCUCUCCCUGCAGGCUUUACCACCUAGUCCAUCUCUUUCUCUCUCUCUCCCUGCAGGCUUUACCACCUAGUCCAUCUCUUUCUCUCUCUCUCCCUGCAGGCUUUACCACCUAGUCCAUCUCUCUCUCUCUCCCUGCAGGCUUUACCACCUAGUCCAUCUCUCUCUCUCCCUGCAGGCUUUACCACCUAGUCCUCUCUCUCUCUCUCCCUGCAGGCUUUACCACCUAGUUCUAGUUCUCUCCCUCUCUCUCUCCCUCCCUCCCUCCCUCCCUCCCUCCCUGCUGGCUUUACCACCUAGUCCAUAUCUCUCCCUCUCUCCCUGCAGGCUUUACCACCUAGUCCAUCUCUCUCUCCCUGCAGGCUUUACCACCUAGUCCAUGUCUCUCUCCCUGCAGGCUUUACCACCUAGUCCAUCUCUUUCUCUCUCUAUCUCUCCCUGCAGGCUUUACCACCUAGUCCAUCUCUCUCUCUCUCCCUGCAGGAAUUAAAAAUUAGUCCAUCUCUCUCCCUCUCACUGCAGGCUUUACCACCUAGUCCAGCUCUCUCUCUCUCUCCAUCUCUCCCUGCUGGCUUUACCACCUAGUCCAUCUCUCUCUCUCUCUGCUGGCUUUAGCACCUAGUCCAUCUCUCUCUCUCUCUCCCUACAGGCUUUACUACCUAGUCCAUCUCUCUCUCUCUCCAUCUCUCCCUGCUGGCUUUACCACCUAGUCCAUCUCUCUCUCUCUCUCUCUCUCUCUCUCUCUCUGCCGGCUUUACCACCUAGUCCAUCUCUCUCUCUCUCUCCCUGCAGGCUUUACCACCUAGUCAUCUCUCUCUCUCUCCCUGCAGGCUUUACCACCUAGUCCAUCUCUCUCUCUCUCUCUCUGCAGGCUUUACCACCUAGUCCAUCUCUCUCUCUCCCUCUGCAGGCUUUACCAACUAGUCCAUCUCUCUCUCCCUGAAGGCUUUACCACCUAGUCCAUCUCUCUCUCUCUCUCUCCCUCUGCAGGCUUUACCACCUAGUCCAUCUCUCUCUCUCUCCCUCUGCAGGCUUUACCACCUAGUCCAUCUCUCUCUCUCUCCCUGCAGGAUUUACCACCUAGUCCAUCUCUCUCUCUCUCUCUCUCUGCAGGCUUUACCACCUAGUCCAUCUCUCUCUCUCCCUCUGCAGGCUUUACCAACUAGUCCAUCUCUCGCUCCCUGAAGGCUUUACCACCUAGUCCAUCUCUCUCUCUCUCCCUCUGCAGACUUUACCACCUAGUCCAUCUCUCUCUCUCUCCCUCUGCAGGCUUUACCACCUAGUCCAUCUCUCUCUCUCUCCCUCUGCAGGCUUUACCACCUAGUCCAUCUCUCUCUCCCUGCAGGCUUUACCACCUAGUCCAUCUCUUUCUCUCUCUCUCCCUGCAGGCUUUACCACCUAGUCCAUCUCUUUCUCUCUCUCUCCCUGCAGGCUUUACCACCUAGUCCAUCUCUCUCUCUCUCCCUGCAGGCUUUACCACCUAGUCCAUCUCUCUCUCUCCCUGCAGGCUUUACCACCUAGUCCUCUCUCUCUCUCUCUCCCUGCAGGCUUUACCACCUAGUUCUAGUUCUCUCCCUCUCUCCCUCUCUCCCUCCCUCCCUCUCUCC
rnacentral:lncRNA from 1 species